ACCAUUUGGGUACUGUGGCCAUGGCUGGUUACAGAUACUGUCAGACAUAGCAUUAGAGCUAAAAGGGACAGGGAAGAAUUAUACAGGAAGCUGGGAUGCAGUUAGUGGUACUGAGUAGGCAGAGGAAAGCAGAGAAUCAGCCAGGAGGGGUGAUGAGGUGCAAACAGAAACUAAGCUGAUGUUCAGCUAAGGAGAAAUAAUUUCUGCCUCUGUGACUGAAGAUGCCAGUGGAGAUAGAGCUUGUUGAAGCAUCUUUGAAGACUAAGGAAUCAUAUCUACUGUGCGAGGAAAGCUGCCUGUGGCACUGA
rnacentral:lncRNA from 12 species